CCUGUAGGUGCACUCCAAGCCCUGGUGGAUUAUUCCUGUGUGUUGUCAGUGCUCACGUGGAUAAGGAAUAUGGGCCACAAAAACCUCUGCUAGAAUGAUGUCCAGGGUUAUAUCACAGCAGAUAUCCAUUUUAAAAUAACAAAUCACUUUGCACAGAAAACCAGUCAUCCACAGACUCAUCAAUAAUUUUAGCCAGAAACUUCAAUAAGGAUUUUUAGGAGGCCAGGUUUAGGAGAUUGUACAGAUUUAUUGCCUCAAAGUUCCCUAAGCAAAGCCUGAGUAGUCUGGAACAGUUUUGAAUUGUGUCAAUGAAUGACAGAUUAAAGAUUCCCCAGGUACCAUGUACAAAACGACAUCACUGACCUGAACGGUUCCUUGAAAGCUAUUCCGGUUUAUUGUGUCAGUGAUCCACAGAUAAUAGGUCUCUGGGGGACUUUUGAACCAGGUUUUUCAAUUCAUAAGGCAGUAAGGAUGCUCUGAAUUGCCAAGUCUAGGCAAGCCUUGGCACAUCUUGAAGCAUAUUUGAAGGGCUUGAAGCAAUGUCUCACAGACUUUUAUUGAACUUGUAACAGAUUUAAAGGAGGAACACUGGGGAAAGGUAGUGAUUCUGGAUUGGAGGAAGGCAUGAGUAGGAGGGAAAUCAUGCAAUGCUCAGCCUGAAUCCUAACUGCAGAAAGACUUUUCAGGCACAGAGGUUCUUCAUUGUAUCUGUAAUUCAAGGAAUCUAUAGGCCUUGAACAGCUUGUGCUCACACAUACCCAACUGGAAGCUGUGAACCUGUGCCAGGAAGAAUGGAAACCAAAAUAAAUGGUUCAAUGACGAAAACCCAAACUGUGCAAAAGUAAUUCACUGGAGAACUACACAGGCUGCACAUGCAUUGGAAACGCACCUGUCUCAUGGUGUUAUGUCUGAUGUUCAAAGAAUUGAUAACCUUCAGCAGAAAAGAAGAGUAGUCGUUAUGUGCAAAUUAUCUGUAAGGACGGCUCUCUCAUCCCUGAAUCUGCCUAUGCUUCCUCUGCAAAGCCUAGAAAGCAGGAAAGAGUCAGUAAUAAAGUUAUUCCUGAUUCUCCAAACUCGACCCUCAAAGGCUUCUGUGUGCACAUCUCGAGUGUGGCAGGAGAAGGCUGGGCUGCCAUAUUCUCAGACCAUAGUAGGAAGAUGGACUUCUAUCGCUGCAACCUUAUCACCACGUCUGCAGGGCAGGAGUACUGCAGCCUUGGACUUGUAGCAGAGCAGAGGACCCAUAACAGAAUAUAG
rnacentral:lncRNA from 1 species